UCACUGGAGGACUAGUGGUUAGGUCACAGCGCUCUCACUGCUGUGGUCCUGGUUCGAUUCCCAGCCAGGGAA
rnacentral:tRNA from 1 species